rnacentral:lncRNA from 1 species
UACCUGGAAAUGAACUUUCCUAGUAAAGUUUGUCAGACUUAUAUCUAAAAUGUUAAUCUUCAGUGCUUUUAGAAGAGAAAAAUUUUAAUCAAAAGGGGGAAGUGAGAAUAAAAAAUAGCUCAGAUAAGUCUGAACUAUGUGAACUUUGCAAAAUGUGUCAGGCCCAGGGAGACAUGAGUAUGAGACUUCAGUCAUGCACCCAUUCCAUGCCUAAAUGCAAUUGCUCAAAGGCAUAUUAUUCUUUCUUUUCUUACCUGUGGUUUUCUGACUAGCUGCCUCACCCAUUAUCUUCAUGUUCCUGGGAUUUUUGAUACAAAGAACAAUGUAUAGCAAAUCAAUAGUUUAUGUUAUUGUCAUUUCUUGGUAAACAACCAAGGAAGUGCCUCUUCUUAUUUCUUUUUUCUUUCUUUCUUUUUCCUUGGCUAUGUCUUCUGCAUGCCUGUUCUUUUUUCCUUUAAAAGCCCACUUGUAACUGCUGUAAAGUCGGGACAUAUAUUUAGGGCAACUUGAGUCCAUGCUUCUGGGUUUCAGUCUUCAAACUUGGCCCAAAUAAACUCUCUCCUUAUGUUAAUUUUGUCUGUUUUUUCUUUAGGUUGACAUGUCCUAGGGCAAAAUUACUUACUUUCUGUAUGCCUCUGUUUCUUCAUUUAUAGGAUUAUGUUGGCUCGGAGAAUGAUACCUCAAAGGCUGGUGCUGAGAGUUCUUAGAAGCUGCUUCAGAAUCAAGGUUUAACCGUGUUUCUCCCCUUCCCUUACAACCCUAAGCUCAGGGAGGGACUCUUUGGAUUUCCUUAUCUGAUGAAGAAAGCUUUCUAAAAGAAAUUCUGUGGUCUUAAUCCCCCUCCCUAAGGAUCUCUCCAGAGAUCAACCACUGGAGAAAAGAUACUAGGAGUCAUCACCACAUCUAGACAGAGUGCUGCUCCAAGAGAUUAACUGAGGGAUUUCAUCUGCAUAAUAAGUCAACCUUUUUUCCGGGCGCAAUGGCUCACGCCUGUAAUCCUAGCACUUUCGGAGGCCCAGUUGUCUUCUCCUCAUAGUCCUCCACUAAAGCCUGAACAACAAGGAAUGCUGUCGGAACUGGACCUUGAUGAAGGAAAUACUUUCUGACUCAUUGGAAUUUGUUAUAGUCAAAAACCCUCAACCCUGCAUCCUACCAUCCUGGGCUUGCACUGCAAGUUACAUGAUCCCUGAGCUGACCACUUUGGCUUGAAUCCCUGGAAGGAGAAAGGAGAGAGAGAGCAACUAGUUCAGACACAAGCAUCUAGUUCAGCUUUGUUUGCCUAUGUGAUAACUUAGGUCUUCACGAUGGCCCAGAGUAAGACGACGCAGGAGGACCCUUCUAGUCAUUUAAUUAUUGCUUGACCAGAACUGUGCCUUGUAAGGUGUUUCCAGACCUAAGAAUAACAGGAACAUGGAGGAGUGGCAUCUCCAGUGUAGCCACCCACCAAAGCCUCAUCCUGAACACUAUGGCCUAGUGGGUCACUUACAGGGAUGUAGCUGGCAUUGAUGUAGUCAGAGCAAGGAUCAUCAUCUACAUUGGAGAGCUUCACUCGCGUGGCAUCAUCUGGAAGGAGAGAUUUGCUGCUGAGUCUUGGAGUGACUUUUCUACAGUUUAUGUGAUGUGUGUGAUGUGCCUUAGCUCUGAUCCCCACAACAGCCACAGAUGGGAAGUGAUCUUAUCUCCAUUUUGCAGAUGAGGCUCAGGCAGGAUAACUAACUUGCCCCAUGUUGCAUAGGUGGCCUAUAACCAGUCAGACACAGGAGACAACAUGAAGCCCCAUCUGUGCUUCCCUUUCUGACAUUACCACAUUUGCCUGAUGGAGUGGCCAGCUCCCUUUCACUGCUGGAAUGAAUACAAUCCAGAAAACCUACCUUCUAUUGCUUUACCUAAUGGGGUAAGGAAAUUUAAGUAGAAAUUGCUAACCGAAGACUUUGCUAAGCAAACCCAGGUCUGCUUGAUGUCAGAGCCCUUGCUGUUAACCCCAUUUACUGCUUAGCCUCCAAAGAGAAGCAAUAGCAUCACAUGGGGAAAUGUCAACAGCAUAAGAGGACUUUCAUAAUCAGAAUUUAAACUGGCUAUUAUCCCUCUGGAGGGAAGUGCAGGAAUAUACAAGCUAUUUCUUAUUAAAGGCAUUCAGAGCUUGAGAUUGUCCAUAUCGAGCUAUAUUAUAUUUCUUUAGCCUCAUUUCAUUUUUGGAGAAAAAUGCAGAAAUGGCUAGAGGAAGACAGUAUUACAAAUUUUGACACAAAACUUACAGGGCAAUAUAUUGUUGUAUCGAUUUUUCCCUCUAUUCUCCGGCAAGAGUGCAAUGUCACAUGACUGGUUUCGGCCCACGUCUUUUAACUCCUGUUAGGUCAAAUAUGAGUUUGUAAGUGGAGAAUAUGAAAUAGAAUAAAGCAAAUCAUACAGUCCUGGAGAUAACAUAAUAACAUGAAAAUAUAUACACUAGCUAUUGUUUAUGAAUGCCUAGUACUCAACAUGCAUUAGCCCUGAUCCCCACAACAGCCCCACAAGGGAGGUGGUGGUCUCACUAUUUUACAGGUGAGGCUCAGUCAGGAUAACUGAUGUGCCCCAGGUCACCCAAGUGGCAAACCUGAGAAUCAGUUCCAAAAGCUACGUGCUUUUUGCGAAACCACGGCAUCUUCCAGCCAAGCAAAUGGCCAGGCUGAAUAUCUGACAGCUUUAGGUCUGCAUUUGAGAUUUGUUAAUUCUUCCUUACUAUCUGAUCCAGGUAGCCCUUGGUUUGCUGUGUUAUUCUGGAGCUCAAGCUGGCCUCUAAGAUUAGAUGGUAUAUUCUAUUCAGGGCAUAGUUUAGGCAUAAAAGAGUGCUCAGCUGAGAUUCUAA